AUUUAUAAGAAUAUGAUGUUGGUUCAGAUUAAGCGCUAAAUAAGGACAUGACACAUGCGAAUCAUACGUUUAUUAUUGAUAAGAUAAUAAAUAUGUGGUGUAAACGUGAGUAAUUUUAUUAGGAAUUAAUGAACUAUAGAAUAAGCUAAAUACUUAAUAUAUUAUUAUAUAAAAAUAAUUUAUAUAAUAAAAAGGAUAUAUAUAUAAUAUAUAUUUAUCUAUAGUCAAGCCAAUAAUGGUUUAGGUAGUAGGUUUAUUAAGAGUUAAACCUAGCCAACGAUCCAUAAUCGAUAAUGAAAGUUAGAACGAUCACGUUGACUCUGAAAUAUAGUCAAUAUCUAUAAGAUACAGCAGUGAGGAAUAUUGGACAAUGAUCGAAAGAUUGAUCCAGUUACUUAUUAGGAUGAUAUAUAAAAAUAUUUUAUUUUAUUUAUAAAUAUUAAAUAUUUAUAAUAAUAAUAAUAAUAAUAUAUAUAUAUAAAUUGAUUAAAAAUAAAAUCCAUAAAUAAUUAAAAUAAUGAUAUUAAUUACCAUAUAUAUUUUUAUAUGGAUAUAUAUAUUAAUAAUAAUAUUAAUUUUAUUAUUAUUAAUAAUAUAUUUUAAUAGUCCUGACUAAUAUUUGUGCCAGCAGUCGCGGUAACACAAAGAGGGCGAGCGUUAAUCAUAAUGGUUUAAAGGAUCCGUAGAAUGAAUUAUAUAUUAUAAUUUAGAGUUAAUAAAAUUAAUUAAAGAAUUAUAAUAGUAAAGAUGAAAUAAUAAUAAUAAUUAUAAGACUAAUAUAUGUGAAAAUAUUAAUUAAAUAUUAACUGACAUUGAGGGAUUAAAACUAGAGUAGCGAAACGGAUUCGAUACCCGUGUAGUUCUAGUAGUAAACUAUGAAUACAAUUAUUUAUAAUAUAUAUUAUAUAUAAAUAAUAAAUGAAAAUGAAAGUAUUCCACUAUUAAUAGUUCCGGGGCCCGGCCACGGGAGCCGGAACCCCGAAAGGAGCUCCUUUCGGGGUUCCGGCUCCCGUGGCCGGGCCCCGGAACUAUUAAUAUUCUUU
rnacentral:rRNA from 1 species